UGAAUCUUUGGGGCGCUGGGGGUCCCUCGGUCACCUCGCGUUCGUGCUUCUCCCUGGAUGACACUUGCUGGUUACGGCCACACAGAGCAUGGGAACCUUAAUAGUCUGGUCCCGUUGUUUUGGGGACGCAGGGAGGGAGCAAUGAUAACUCCUGGCCUUCUUCCUCUCCCCUUAGUGGAGCGCAUGCGUGGGGGCGAGAACCUGGCUGGGCACUUAAAGUACCCAGGGAUAGCAAAGCCCUGUUUGAUCUGUGGGGCCCCAGAUCGCACAGGUGCUAGAGUUGCUCAAAUGAGGUGUGCCGUUCCAGCUAAUAGGGAGGUGCACCAUAAUUCACGGGCUCUCCAAAGUUUUAAAAUUUGGAGUCUGGCCACCCGGAUAAGGUGGGUCUAGCUAGAUUUCUUGAAAACCAA
rnacentral:lncRNA from 1 species